rnacentral:rRNA from 1 species
AAAGCUAUUUAGGUAGCGCCUCGUGAAUUCAUCUCCGGGGGUAGAGCACUGUUUCGGCAAGGGGGUCAUCCCGACUUACCAACCCGAUGCAAACUGCGAAUACCGGAGAAUGUUAUCACGGGAGACACACGGCGGGUGCUAACGUCCGUCGUGAAGAGGGAAACAACCCAGACCGCCAGCUAAGGUCCCAAAGUCAUGGUUAAGUGGGAAACGAUGUGGGAAGGCCCAGACAGCCAGGAUGUUGGCUUAGAAGCAGCCAUCAUUUAAAGAAAGCGUAAUAGCUCACUGGUCGAGUCGGCCUGCGCGGAAGAUGUAACGGGGCUAAACCAUGCACCGAAGCUGCGGCAGCGACACUAUGUGUUGUUGGGUAGGGGAGCGUUCUGUAAGCCUGUGAAGGUGGCCUGUGAGGGUUGCUGGAGGUAUCAGAAGUGCGAAUGCUGACAUAAGUAACGAUAAAGCGGGUGAAAAGCCCGCUCGCCGGAAGACCAAGGGUUCCUGUCCAACGUUAAUCGGGGCAGGGUGAGUCGACCCCUAAGGCGAGGCCGAAAGGCGUAGUCGAUGGGAAACAGGUUAAUAUUCCUGUACUUGGUGUUACUGCGAAGGGGGGACGGAGAAGGCUAUGUUGGCCGGGCGACGGUUGUCCCGGUUUAAGCGUGUAGGCUGGUUUUCCAGGCAAAUCCGGAAAACCAAGGCUGAGGCGUGAUGACGAGGCACUACGGUGCUGAAGCGACAAAUGCCCUGCUUCCAGGAAAAGCCUCUAAGCAUCAGGUAACAUCAAAUCGUACCCCAAACCGACACAGGUGGUCAGGUAGAGAAUACCAAGGCGCUUGAGAGAACUCGGGUGAAGGAACUAGGCAAAAUGGUGCCGUAACUUCGGGAGAAGGCACGCUGAUAUGUAGGUGAAGCGACUUGCUCGUGGAGCUGAAAUCAGUCGAAGAUACCAGCUGGCUGCAACUGUUUAUUAAAAACACAGCACUGUGCAAACACGAAAGUGGACGUAUACGGUGUGACGCCUGCCCGGUGCCGGAAG